AGUAGAGGUGGGGUUUCACCAUGUUGGCCAGGCUGGUCUUGAACUCCUGACCUCAAGUGAUCCACACACCUCAGCCUCCCAAAGUCCUAGGGUUACAGGCGUGAGCCACUGCACCUGGCCAGCCCUUUAAGUUUUUAAAGUCAGGUUUAUGGAGGUAUAAUUUACAUAGAGUAAAAUUAAACUUUGUUAGUGUACAGUUCUAUGAAUUUUGACAAAAGCAUACAGUUCUGUAACUACCACCACAGUCAACAUAUAAACCAUCUCUACAGAGAACUACAACUGCUUGUAGUUCACUCCCUCUCCUCACCCUUCUCUGGCAACUGCUGAUAUGUUUUCUGUCAUUAUAGUUUUGCCUUUUCCAGAUGUUAUAAAAUGGAAUCAUGUAAUAUGUAACCUUUUGAAAAGUCUAGCUUCUUCCACUUAGUAUUAUGCAUUUGGAAUUCAACCAAGUUGCAUGUAUCAGUAGUUCGUUCCUUUUUAUUGCUAAGUAGAAUUCCAUUGUGGAUAUACACAGUUUGCUUAUUCUUCUAUUGAUGGACACUUGUGUAAUUUUCAGUCUGAGACAAUAUGAAGAAAGCUACUCUAUACAUUAAGGUACAGAUUUUUGUAUGGAUAUAUGUUUGCAUUUCUCUUGGGUAAAGUCAAUACUGAAGAGUAGGAUUUACUGUGUUAUGUGGUAUGUGUUUAACUUUAUAAGUUAUAUGCCAAACUGUUUUCCAAAGUGUAUCAUUCUGCUUUCCCAACAGCAAUGGAUGAGAGCUUCAACUGCCCCACAUCCUUCCCUGCACAGUAUUGUCGGUUUCCUUCAUUCUGAUAGACAAUACCCUGUACUGCUUUCAUGGUCAUAAUAUCUGCAUCAUUUGGAGGAUAUUUUUCUUCAUCUCUCUGCUCAGUCUCUGUUUCAUGUGAGGCGUGUUUUAUCUAUACAUUUCAGUAUCUACUUUUUCAUGAUGACUAUUUCUCAGAUGUCUGUAAUCCUUGCUUGGCCACUCAUAUUUAAGAGUGAGUGACUAAAAAGUUGAGUGGAAGCUGUAAACACAUGAGUGGGGCUUGUCUAUUGUGACCUUAACUAUAUAUAUUUAGUGGUCUGUGUCAGUGUCCUAAGAACUUUCCUCCCGGUCUGGCCAGAUUUUGCAGAGAGGGAUCCUCUAAUUUCCUGCCUAGAUGGUAGAGGUCUGACUCAGUGUUCUGGAAUCUAGGUGGAGGAAAGGGUGAGGGAGGUCUCAGCACUCAGAAUACCUGCUUCCACUUAAAUCUCCUAUUUUCAUUAUGGCAUCCCCUCCCUUAAGUGUGGCCCUUAUCCAUUUGAGCAUUUCUCAUGCCUAACCUGGCAGGCAUUGUUAAUUGAGUAAAUGAACUGUGUAGUUUGUUAUUCUGUUACAUGGCUCUGUUGCAAAGAAACUUCUGAGCAUUCACUCUCAAUAUGUACAUAUCUAUUUAGAAAUUGCAUACUUUAUUGUUUUACUAAAUAUAUUAUGUACAUUAUAAAGCAAAUACAAAAUUAAUAAAGGCUGAGAUAAAAAUGAAA